rnacentral:rRNA from 1 species
CAAUAGCGUAUAUUAAAGUUGUUGCGGUAAAAAAGCUCGUAGUUGGAUUUCUGUUGAGAGCGACCGGUCCAUACCAUGUAUGCGUAUCUGGCUUGCUCUCGGCAUCCUCUCGAUAGACGUUACUGCGCUUGAUUGCGUGGUGCGGAUCUCGGGACUUUUACUUUGAGGAAAUUAGAGUGUUCACGGCAGGCUUUCGCCAGAAUACAUUAGCAUGGAAUAAUACUAUAGGAUCUUGGUUCUAUUUUGUUGGUUUCUAGAAUUGAGAUAAUGAUUAAUAGGGACAAUUGGGGGCAUUCGUAUCAACACGUCAGAGGUGGAAUUCUUGGAUCGUGUUGCGACGAACUACUGCGAAAGCAUUUGCCAAGGAUGUUUUCAUUGA